rnacentral:rRNA from 1 species
UUCGCAAUGCCCGAAAGGGUGAACGAGCGACGCCGCGUGCGGGAUGAAGGGCUUCGGCUUGUAAACCGCUUUUGUUUGGGAAGAAUGCCCGGAUCGUGAAUUCGGGAGGGACGGUACCAGACGAAUAAGCCCCGGCUAACUCCGUGCCAGCAGCCGCGGUAAGACAGAGGUGGCAAGCGUUGUUCGGAACCACUGGGCGUAAAGGGCGCCUAGGCAGUGCGGCAAGUCGACUGUGAAAUCCCUCGGCUCAACCGAGGAAGUGCAGUCGAAACUGCCGUGCUAGAGGACGAGAGGGGAGAGUGGAACUCCUGGUGGAGCGGUGAAAUGCGUAGAUAUCAGGAGGAACGCCGGUGGCGAAAGCGACUCUCUGGCUCGUUCCUGACGCUGACGCGCGAAAGCUAGGGGAGCGAACGGGAUUAGAUACCCCGGUAGUCCUAGCCGUAAACGAUGGGCACUAAGUAGAGGGGUUUU